CUUGAAUUUCCCCUGGGGAUCAAUAAAGUAUCUAUCUAUCUAUCUAUCUAUUUAUCUAUCUAGGUCUUAAGACGCACAUAUAUAGAAACCAUAAACAAUGU